GACUUGCGUGACCAGUACGCAUGGGUAAUGUCCCGCGCUGAAGAGCUUGACGCUGACUCGCUCGCUGCUGCACUGGACGCAUUCGAGUCUAACGGCAUCGACACGUCGCUGUUGCAGCCCACGCCACAAGGCGGCGACUGCAUCUACGCGCCAGUUCCUCCCAAGAUAUAAAGAAAAAAGAACAUACAGAAUUACCUAGGAAAUUGAUGGAUACCGUAUUUUCUCUAUAUUGCGUUAAAUUUAACUCAUUGAAAGAAUUGACCUACACGUACGAAUAUAAAUCAGUUUCAAGCAAAUUGA